ACGACCUUACUUGAACAGGAUCUGUUCUAUAGGCUCGUACCUCUGUAUCCUUAAGUUCUAAGGAGACAGGAUUCCAAGUCUGGUUGAUGAACUGAGGCUGUGUGAUCAGAGCGUGAUUAUUGGUCUGGGUUACUGAAUAUCGGCUAACCUCGAUCGCAGAGGAUCGUUCCCAGUUCGCCUUGUCUUGCUGGGAUGGUCACACAGUUGUCUGACAGACU